GACAGAGGGUGCUAGCGUUGUUCGGAAUUACUGGGCGUAAAGGGCGCGUAGGCGGCUCGUUUAGUCGGGUGUGAAAUCCCGGGGCUCAACCCCGGAACUGCAUUCGAUACUGGCGGGCUAGAGACCGGAAGAGGUGGGUGGAAUACCCAGUGUAGAGGUGAAAUUCGUAGAUAUUGGGUGGAACACCGGUGGCGAAGGCGGCUCACUGGUCCGGUUCUGACGCUGAGGCGCGAAAGCGUGGGGAGCAACAGG
rnacentral:rRNA from 1 species